UGUUUAGGCGUAUCCCACACGUAAUUACCGGCCAACGUAUACUUUCGCGAUGAGAUAUUUGUCAGUGGGAUCGACAAAGAGUUUCGAUCUUGACAUUUCAAUGGCGUAUAUUCCGUAUUUUCAUCUUAUUCACGCGAAAAGGGGGAAGCGAUUGACGAUUAUUUAUUUAUCGAGCAGCCGGUGUAACAGUUAUACUAUCGGUAUAUACACGUGUUGAUUGCGAUUUUGUGUAAAAGAACAGUAUCUCAUGCUUUGAGGAAAGUAACAGAAGAAUUUGAUCCGUGUUAGAAAAAUAUCCUAUCGGAGGUCUUUAACCUUCUGGAUGCCUAUUUAAUUUGAAAAAAUUCUUCCACGAAUCAAAUUUUAUUUUUUCGUGUUAAUGCGUUUAAAAAUAAACUUAUAGAUUUUUGUUAACAGUUUUGAAAAGAGAAUAUUAUUUUCCAAAGCAUUUAGAAGUGUGUAUUAAUCUUGACAAAGAAGUUGAAUGAAGAAUUUCAAGGAUUAAUCUUUAACUAUUAUAUAUACUUCAAUUUAUGGACGUGACAUCAAAAUGACGUCGCUCAUAAUUAAUAUAUUGAACACGAAGACAAAUGUAUGUGCUAUUCAGCAGCCCCGUCUAUUCAGGAAGAAUGUGAUCGACAAAAUAGAACAUGGUGAAGUGAUUUUAAAAGAAGCAUACUUAAGUUCCUGUACAUUUAACAUACUUAACUAUUGACGUAAAAUUGCUCAAAAGUUAUUUGUUGCAAGAUAUUUUUAAAAUUAAAUUUACGGUUGGAUCUAUUAACACAUCUUUUGCUUGAAAAUUUUGUAAAAUUCUUUUAUUCAGAGGCAAGCAGAAUCUUCGAAAAUUAAUUUUAAAAUUUCUUUUUCUUCAUCAGUGUUAACCUUUUCGAGCAUAAAUUUACUAAAAUCAAAAAAAAAUAAUUAAAUUUUCCAAGUUCUUUUAUAAAAAUACUGAAUGAAAAAUAAUAUUGAGAACAAGUAACAUAUUACUUCAAAUUUUUCCCUAAUAUUUUACGUAACUAAAUUUUACAUGUUUCUGGUUAUAAUCUCUUAUUUUAUAAAUAGAAAUAUUUUUUGAAAUAUUGAAAUAUAUCGAGGAAAUAUAUUAUUUUUGACAAUAAAAAAAACUAAUGAUUAUAAAAAAACUAACGAAAAUGAACAUCGUUUAAAAUCGUCUUAAAAAAAAUAAACAAUAAAAUCAAAUUUCUAAUGAUUCACGGCACAUAAACCUUUCAACUCAACACCUGGCUAUUUCCCCGACGUUAAAAUCAUGCCACGUAAAGCCUCUUUUCUUUCCCAGGAAACAGAGCCAGUGUUCGUGUUAAUUCUCACGCGGUGCAAUCCUGGAACCGCCUAAUCCCACAAAAGAUCGACCCACUUAGCCGAACGACGCAUGAAUCGUUCUCAUGGUGCAGACCCAGUUUAUCACAUUUCGUGAAAAUUAGUGUGACCUGAUAUCGAAUUAACUAUACUUCAUCGAAGACACAAUAACUUCGAAUGGCCUAUAUUCGGUGAACGCCAGUUCCGGUCUCGUAUGGAAAGCAAUAGUACAUGUCGUUGACCGACACAGAUCUUUCAUCUAUACUCGUCAUGGCUGACGAUAAAAGAGCAUCCUUUAAAAGACAGGCAUAAUAUUCGUUCGAUAAAGAACAUGGUAGGAACAGAAGGAAUAAAGGGAAUAGAAAAAUGUCCUAUUGGCUCGUAUGUGGCUCGAUUCUUUUAUUGUUCCUCGAGUCGAUAAUUUUCUCGAUCCUCCUGAACCUGAAGAGGAAGGCAUCGAUCGACAACUAAGGAGGGACCGAUCGAGAACAAAUCCUUCUAAUAAUGGAAAAUGUCAUUCCGAUCAAUAGGUCUCUCAACUAUUUUAACAGCGAUUAAAUUCUUUGUUGAAUAAAUUACUGGGAAAAAAGAUAGAAAGUCAAUCGAUUUGGUUGCAUUUUGAAAGAGUUCUCACAGCAUAUUGCGUUUUCAGAUGUUUUUAUAUAUAUUUUGAGUCGAGAAUAGAUAAAAUUAAUUGGCCUAUUCGUUAUUCGUCUGUUAAGAGACAAUGCAACGUUUAAUUUAUAAAAUUUCUUAUAAACUAUUAAUUAUUAUCUAUUAAUGUAUUUUAAUAUUAUAAAUAAAGGAAGUUCCAA